rnacentral:lncRNA from 1 species
GCUCACCAGCGACUAGAACCAGCAACUCUGUCAGGGAUUGUGGCAUUUAUCCUUAGUCUUUUAUGUGCAGCUCUGAAUUUAAUUCGAGGCUUUCAUGCCAUAGAAAGUCUCCUGCAGAGUGAUGGUGAGGAUUUUAAUUACAUUGUUGCAUUUUUCCUUGGAACAGCAGCCUGCCUUUAUCAGUGGAAUGCAGUCUGAAGAAAUGCCUAUUUCCAUUUCUGUUGGCCUAUGUCUGGAUAGAAUUCUGAUUUGUCAAGGCUCCACAGAGACCAGAUUUGUCAGGUGAGCCUUAAUCUCCAUGUCACAGAAGUGCUUCCUCCUGCGGUUAGCUGCCUUCCCAAAAGGCUGUCACUUAGCUUUUAUUCCAAAAGGUUUACUGAGUAACCAAGGACCCAUGCAAAGCUGUUGAAUUUCUAAGAGAUACAACAAAGUUUAUGUAUGCACACAUAUGUGUGUGUCUUCACUUUUCUUCUUCUUUUUUUUUUUUGGCGGGGGGGGGGGCACUUGUAACGUGGAAGUUCCUUAACCCACUGGAUCUUUAAUCCACUGUGCCACAAGGGAACUCUUCCUCUUGCUGUUUUUAACAGGACUUUUUGUUCAUUAUAAAAGUUAGAGCUGUAAUAGAGUAUUAGUAAAAAAAAAACAUUAUUUCAAAAUCAGUCACCACUCAGACCAAAUUAAAUACCUAGUUUUAUCACACAUUAUGGGUUUUCAGGGCUGCAUUCUUUGUGGUCAAGACUUCCUUGCAUUUUUCUGCUUUAUUAUCUCUAUAGAAAUAGAAUCAUUCUACCUAAGAAUGCUCUGGUAAAUCAGACAUGAUUUUGGGGUUAAAUUGGCUUUAGGACUAUCCUAGCCUACAGUUGACAGAAGAAACCCUUCCAACUCCAAGGGUUAUGGAUGAGUUGUGUUUAUAGCUGAGGAUUUAACUUUUCUAGUCUUACUGAUUAGGAUUGGAUACAUCUGAUCAUCACUGUUCUGGGACUGCUGUUGAAUGCUGGCGUAUUGCAGCCUUCUGUUGGAGCAAAGAGAAGUUGUAUCUGUGGCUGCCACUCUUGUAACACCUCUUCCUUGGGUAGCCAGGCUUUCUAGGUUACUUUAUUUAGCAGGUGAAAUCACAGUGUCACAGCCCUGUAUGGUUGGAAGCCAUGUGGCUUGUAUCCUUGCUGUGUACAGCAAGUGAUAUUGACAUGUGUGUACUCGUUUUCAUCUGCAUUGGUGGUGCCAGUGUAUAAUGAAAAGUCUCAGCACAGUGGAGCCUUUAGGAAAAUGAAGGAGGAAACAGGCUUAGUCUAAAGGAGUUCCUGAAAUCAGUUCCCUGGCCUUAUAAAUUGUUUCUGAUGUUUCCCUGACAACAAAUGGCAUUUUCAGCCCAACUGCAUCCACAGUUUACAUUUGCCAUUCUCUCCUGUAUCCCACAACAUAGCCGAGUAAGUGUCAUCACAGAAGCACAUUCAGGCUCCAUCUGACAGUAGGGAACGGGGCUCAUACGUUCUGUUUCCUGUCUGGUCCCAGCAGCCCCUCCCCAGCUCUGCACUGGUCACCUGCCUCCUCUGUACCAGUGCUUUCCUUCGAGGUUGGAUUGUCCAAGAAACCUUGCCUAAAGGUGAACAAAGAGUAUUUCAGGGAGUUCCCGUCGUGGCGCAGUGGUUAACGAAUCCAACUAGGAAGCAUGAGGUUGUAGGUUCGAUCCCUGGCCUUACUCAGUGGGUUAACGAUCCAGUGUUGCCUUGAGCUGUGGUGUAGGUCAAAGACGCAGCUCAAAUCUGGCAUUGCUGUGGCUCUGGCAUAGGCCAGCAGCUACAGCUCCGAUUAGAUCCCUAGCUUGGGAACCUCCAUAUGCCGCGGGAGCGGCCCAAGAAAUGGCAAAAAAAAAAAAAAGAAUAUUUCACCCUUGCACUUUGAACUCCUUCAUACCCAGAACUAACGCAAGGAUGCUCGUUAGCACUUUCUGUGGGCCAGUGCAGGACCUCCGACAUAGUUAAUCUUUAUGGCAGCCUUGGGAGAUGGGAGUGGGCACUAUAUUAUGUUUACUUGAGGAAAAGAAGACUCAGGUUCAAACCUGGGAUUGAGUUCUAAAGGACUCAAAAAUUGGUGCUUACUCUUCCGUGCCACAGAGGUUUUCACGAAAAAAAAGUUCUUCACAUGUGUGUUUCUGACAACACUGGGCUAUUAACUGUUACAGCAGCAGUUAGAACAGAUGAAGCCACCAUGGAGGGGAAAUGGCACUGCGUGUGCUAAGCAUCCUCAAGGAAGCUUUUAUGAAGGCUUCCUGUCUUACAGAGCACCUGAAGCCUAAAGAAGUGACUUGGCCGCAGUCACAAUCUAACCUAUGUGGUGGUCACCAGGAUUUCAAUCCAGGUCAGUCUUACUCAGAGCUUAUGCUCUUAACCACCUUGAAAUAUUUAUUAAGCUAGGUAACAUAUGCACAAUGUGUUGAAAUAUAUAAGGGAUAUGUGUUGGAAUAAAUGAUCCACAUUUAUUCUUUUGUCUUUUUUUUUUUUUUUUUUUUUUAGGGCCACACCCGUGGCAUAUGUAAGUUCCCAAGCUAAGGAUCAAAUUGGAGCUGCAGCUGCCAGCCUACCCCACAGCCACAGCAGUACCAGAUCUGAGCCGUGUCUGCAACCUACUCUAUAGCUCAUGGCAACUCCAGAUCCUUAACCCACUGAGCGAGGCCAGGGAUUGAACCUGCACAUCUUCAUGGAUACUAGUCAUAUUCUUAACCCACUGAGCCACAGUGGGAACUCCCUGAUCUACGUUAUUUUUAAAAGAGGUUGGGUCACUGCUAAUUCCUACAGUGUAGAUGUCCUAGACUGAAUAAAAUCAUUUCCUAAAAUUCCUAUGCCUAUUACAGUGACAGGACAGAUGGCUGCCAGAAGUAUGGUGAACCUUAGGUGUGCUUUAGAUUUUAAGGCAAGGGGUAUAAAGUUUAGUCUUUCUCAAAUCUAAUUCAUGAAUUAAUGAUUCCUGAUAUAGAAUGGUAAAGCUUCCCUGGUGAUUCAUAUGUUACAAACAUUGACUUUUUUCUAGCCGAAGGCCAGCAGAGAUUGGUUCUUUGAUAGGAAGUAAUUUCAUGAGAAUUCUGCUCUAAGUAGUCCCUAGAUCUGAAAACAUUAAACAAAAAAUAGAAGGCAACUAUUUUCAGUAUAGAACAGUGAUUAUGAGUAUAGAACCAGACCCCUGGCUUCUCUGCCACUGGCAUUGUGACCUCAGCAGAUCAUGUAACCUAUCUGCCUCAGUUUCCUUGUCUGAGCAGUAGAGAUAAUAACAGCACUUUAAGCAAGUACUGUGAGGAUUGAAUGAGUCAAUAAAUAGAAGCUCUUAGAACCUGGGAUGGUGGGUGCUAGGACCUCAUGUUGUGGUCUCUCUGAUUAGUGUUACUAUUACUUUCAAGAUAAUAAGAGGCUUUUAAAUAGCAAAUGCCCCCAAAUAUAUCAUUGCUUAUAGCUUUGCAGAAAUUGUGAAUUAAGUGAGAAUCCUGUUGAAAUAUUUGGUAGUCAUGUGCCCUGUCCUGGCAAGCUUUUGUGUGCAGACUUGUGGGCAGGGCAAUGGGGACACAUCCAAAUACAGAGAUGGGAACUGGGGGCCUGGUAUUGCCAAAUGCCUGUUGUAUAUCAGGUAUUUUCCAUGCAGCAUCCACGUGAGCUUAACAAAAUCCAUCUGAGGUAAGUAAACAGGAUUAAGUUGUCACUUAAUCCAGUGUCACUCGGCUUGGAAGAAGGAGACUGCUUUCCAGGACCCGCAGUCUCCUAGGCACUGGAUCACUGCUGUCAAAUGGGGAAGGUGUCUCUGGGAACGCCGCCUUAUCCAGUGUGGUGCUGGCACUUUGGCCCCAUCAUCCUUUGCUUUGAACAUCCUAAUUUGGUCUAUCGAGUACUCCUGGAUAGCUGCUGCCUAGUGUCCUCCACUCUUUGGGGCUCCCAGGGGUGUGUUUGUGCAUGUGGUCUGUGCACAGAUGGGAGUGAGGGGUGGGGAAGGCAGCCAGCAGCCUUUCACAGUAUGGAAAUAUACAAAUACCAGGGAUAUAAGAGCCUAAGGCAGUCUUAGCACAAAUGCAACAUGGCUCUUAAGAGAGUAAUCCAAUGCGAAAUGUACCCCUUCCUCCAAAAAUAAAAAAUAAAAAACAGGUGAGCCAGGGAAAUGAGAAUGCCAGAGCAGAGAAGCAAAUUUUGCAAAAUUGGAAGAUAGUCUAAGAAUAACCAGAGCUGCUGAGAAACUAGAGAUUCCGGGCAGGUCUAAAUAGGAAAUUGGCUGAGGGAGAAAAAGAAAGGAGGCUCCUACUGGAUUCCAGUGAGACAUCUUAAAUUCACAGGCCUCCUAGACCAGCAGUACAAAAGGGGCCUUAGGGAUAAAUAUACACUCACCAAGGGAGAGGUAGCACAGCUCUUCUCUCAAGAAGCCGACGGUGAGGUUUGGGGCUGGCAAGCCAGUGAGGACAGGAUACCUACUUUACCUCAGCCCCAAAGUAUCCCUCUCCUUCUCUUUGUCAUCACAUCACCCUGUCUUGGAACCCUCUGCUUACUCCGUGAACCCAGGCUGACCUCCACUCACCUCUCCCCACUCUAUGGAUCAGGGCCCUUGACGGAAAAGGGCAUCCAUCAUGCGUGGCUGCUGCUGCCAAUGGGUUGUCAUGAGGAGGAUGAAACAAAGGCUACUUCUGACUUUGGUUUGAAGGUGAUCUUCCCACAGACCCCCUUGGCAACUUGCUGUCAUCUCACUUGUCUCUGCCUUUGACUCUCAAAUCUUAAAACUCUGAUUUGAUUGUGUUUAUGUUUGCAUGAUCCAUGCAGUCUGGCACUUGAAGAUUGGAUAAAGAGCUGCACAAGUAUCUGGGGUCAGGGAAUGCCAGAGGAGGGAGAAACCUUGGAGGUCAGCCAUUCCAGUGGCCUCACUUGGCGUUAUCCUUGUGUCUGUCUUGUGAAGCAAUGACCUUGCAGGUAAGGGGGAAAGACAGGCAAGAGGAGGACAGCAAAUACAUUUUUCCUCCCAAGAUAAAGAGGAAAAAAAAAAAAUACCAAAGGGCUUUUUUGAAAAUUUGGGAAGAUAAGGAAAGCUAUAUAGUACUAUGAUAAUUGGAUCUCAUUUCAUCUAUUGUCAGCCUUCAAGAGUGGCAAGCCCUCUGUUCCUGCCAAGAUCAUUGGUACUCAGCCAGGUGGGCACAAUGAACAGAAGUGCCCCUGGGUUAACGCCAAGCUUUCAUCCCCAAGUAUCUGAGCCACUGCAGAAGCUACGCCAAUUUCUCCCGCUGCUUCCUAGGCCUGAGGGGAAGCACAGGAGAAAAUGUACAUGAAGGCUCUUUAUACACUGUGAAGUUUAUCCAAAUGAGGGGACAUGGUAUCCUCUGAUCGUCUGUCCCCUCACCUCACCCCCAGCUCCACAGAUAAUGCCAGUGCCAUCCAUUUUCCUCCUGACACCUGUGCUCCAUGCUACUUGCCUGACCGCCACUUCAGUCUUCCCUUCUGGAGAUGACAACCUGUACAGUGUUUGUUCUCUUCAUGGGGGAGUUGUUUCAAUGUAGGCAAAUUCAGAAGCAGUGGGUUUUCACAGUGUGCUUGUCCUUACCAGUACUGUUCUCUUCUUCAGGUGGCAGUGAGAGUCUGUGCAACACUACUUUUUGAGCAUCUACAUCCUGUGCCUAAGAAUGCCUUCCCACCCUGCAAGGAUGUGAGCUCAGCAUCGAUUCCAGGCUCUGGGAAACUCCCUUUCUACCAAUUAGCAGCUAGUGGCCAGACUGCAUAUAGAAACACUCAUAUCUUAUCAUGUUUAGACUAUAGCUCUGGGCAUGAUUUCUCUACGCCACUCAGAGAGAAAAAGAUAAAUAAUGUUUCAUCUUUGUUUACAGUUUAUCAAGUUGUAGAUCACAGUUUAGUGUAAGAGGAAAAAAUCUUCUAUAAGACAAAGAUUAAAGCCAAUAAUAUUUCAGUAAGUUAUAAAAUCAUAAAUUUAUCAGUUCACUUACUCCCAUGUAAUUGAUUCCUGUUGAUCUGGAUGAAACCUUCAGGUUUUCCAUUGGUUUUGUAAAUUCUUACUGUUCAGCAGUAUGAUCUAAAAGUCAUCAGGGAGUUCUCGUUGUGGCUCAGUGGUUAAUGAAUCCGAUUAGGAACCAUGAGGUUGUGGGUUCGAUUCCUGGCCUCACUCAGGGGGUUAAGGAUCCAGCAUUUCCAUGAGCUGUGGUGUAGGUCGUAGACUUGGCUCAGAUCCUGAGUUGCUGUGGCUCUGGUGUAGGCCGACGGCUAUAGCUCCGAUCAGACCCCUAGCCUGGGAACCUCCAUAUGCUUCGGGGGCGGCCCUGGAAAAGACAAAAAAAAAAAAAAAAAAAAAAAAA